rnacentral:rRNA from 1 species
UACAGAGGGGGCAAGCGUUGUUCGGAAUUACUGGGCGUAAAGGGCGCGUAGGCGGCCCGCUAAGUCGAACGUGAAAUCCCCGGGCUCAACCCGGGAACUGCGUCCGAUACUGGUGGGCUUGAAUCCGGGAGAGGGAUGCGGAAUUCCAGGUGUAGCGGUGGAAUGCGUAGAGAUCGGGAAGAACAUCGGUGGCGAAGGCGGCCAGCUGGGCCAUUGCUGACGCUGAUGCGCGACAGCGUGGGGAGCAAACAGG